rnacentral:rRNA from 1 species
UAUGGUAAUUGGCCAGCAGCCGCGGUACUACGUAGGGAGCGAGCGUUGUCCGGAAUGACUGGGUGUAAAGGGAGCGUAGGCGGGAUGGCAAGUCAGAUGUGAAACCUGAGGGCUCAACCUUCAGACUGCAUUUGAAACUGCUGUUCUUGAGUGAAGUAGAGGUAAGCGGAAUUCCUGGUGUAGCGGUGAAAUGCGUAGAGAUCAGGAGGAACAUCGGUGGCGAAGGCGGCUUACUGGGCUUUUACUGACGCUGAGGCUCGAAAGCGUGGGGAGCAAACAGG